AGUGACUCUGUUCAACGGCCGCGGUAUCCUAACCGUGCGAAGGUAGCGUAAUCACUUGUUCUUUAAAUGAGGACUAGUAUGAAUGGCACCACGAGGGUUAUACUGUCUCCUUUCCCUAAUCAGUGAAACUAAUCUUCCCGUGAAGAAGCGGGAAUACACCUAUAAGACGAGAAGACCCUAUGGAGCUUUAAACUAAGCAACAAUUGCUAUUAUUUUUUUAACUUCCAGAAUAAUAAUUUUAUUUAACACCAUGUGUGCUAGUUUUCGGUUGGGGUGACCGCGGAGAAAAAAACAACCUCCACAUUGAAAGAGUUCCACUCCUUAGCUAAGAGAUACGCCUCAAGGCAUCAAAAAUUUGACAUCCRUUGACCCAAUCUAUUGAUCAACGAACCAWGUUACCCUAGGGAUAACAGCGCAAUCMACUUCAAGAGCCCCUAUCGACAAGUAGGUCUACGACCUCGAUGUUGGAUCAGGSUAUCCCAGUGGUGCAGCCGCUACUAAA
rnacentral:rRNA from 1 species